AACGAACGCUGGCGGCAGGCUUAACACAUGCAAGUCGAGCGCCCCGCAAGGGGAGCGGCAGACGGGUGAGUAACGCGUGGGAAUCUACCGUGCCCUACGGAAUAGCUCCGGGAAACUGGAAUUAAUACCGUAUACGCCCUACGGGGGAAAGAUUUAUCGGGGUAUGAUGAGCCCGCGUUGGAUUAGCUAGUUGGUGGGGUAAAGGGCUACCAAGGCGACGAUCCAUAGCUGGUCUGAGAGGAUGAUCAGCCACAUUGGGACUGUGACACGGCCCAAACUCCUACGGGAGGCAGCAGUGGGGAAUAUUGGAGAAUGGGCGCAAGCCUGAUCCAGCCAUGCCGCGUGAGUGAUGAAGGUCUUAGGGUUGUAAAGCUCUUUCACCGGUGAAGAUAAUGACGGUAACCGGAGAAGAAGCCCCGGCUAACUUCGUGCCAGCCGCCGCCGUAAAAC
rnacentral:rRNA from 1 species